rnacentral:rRNA from 1 species
GAUGAACGCUAGCUACAGGCUUAACACAUGCAAGUCGAGGGGAAACGGCAUUGAGUGCUUGCACUCUUUGGACGUCGACCGGCGCACGGGUGAGUAACGCGUAUCCAACCUUCCCAUUACUGUGGGAUAACCUGCCGAAAGGCAGACUAAUACCGCAUAGUCUUCGAUGACGGCAUCAGAUUUGAAGUAAAGAUUUAUCGGUAAUGGAUGGGGAUGCGUCUGAUUAGCUUGUUGGCGGGGUAACGGCCCACCAAGGCUACGAUCAGUAGGGGUUCUGAGAGGAAGGUCCCCCACAUUGGAACUGAGACACGGUCCAAACUCCUACGGGAGGCAGCAGUGAGGAAUAUUGGUCAAUGGACGGAAGUCUGAACCAGCCAAGUAGCGUGCAGGAUGACGGCCCUAUGGGUUGUAAACUGCUUUUGUAUGGGGAUAAAGUUAGGGACGUGUCCCUAUUUGCAGGUACCAUACGAAUAAGGACCGGCUAAUUCCGU